rnacentral:rRNA from 1 species
GACGGGGGGGGCAAGUGUUCUUCGGAAUGACUGGGCGUAAAGGGCACGUAGGCGGUGAAUCGGGUUGAAAGUGAAAGUCGCCAAAAAGUGGCGGAAUGCUCUCGAAACCAAUUCACUUGAGUGAGACAGAGGAGAGUGGAAUUUCGUGUGUAGGGGUGAAAUCCGUAAAUAUACGAAGGAACGCCAAAAGCGAAGGCAGCUCUCUGGGUCCCUACCGACGCUGAGGUGCGAAAGCAUGGGGAGCGAACAGG